rnacentral:lncRNA from 1 species
AAGUGCUAAAGCGUUCGGAACGAGCACUCCAUACAAGCAAUGUUUGUGAGAGUUUAAGAACGGAGAAAAGGAGGGGGAACACACUUGAUCGAUCUUUUAGAUGGCCCUAAGAGCGGUAUAAUCGCUUAAGAAGAGGACACAUUUAAAGAGAGGAGGUCUUUAAAGAGAUGAGUCAAAGGAACUCAAUCUAGAUUCAACCGAGACUUUUGCAUUAUAAUUUACAUUCAUUAUAGAAGAUUUCAUUCUUUCUUUUCCUUUUGAUGUAUGUUUUGAUCUUGCAACGAUGUGAAUAAAGUUUUAACUUUUAAAGCCAUAUUUGUCUAUUAACUGAAUGCAUGGAGUGGCACUCAUGGACAU